rnacentral:piRNA from 1 species
UGAUGUUUGUCUGUUAGGAUGUUUGAACAU